rnacentral:rRNA from 1 species
CCUACGGGAGGCAGCAGUAAGGAAUAUUGGUCAAUGGACGAAAGUCUGAACCAGCCAUGCCGCGUGAAGGAUGAAGGCCCUCUGGGUUGUAAACUUCUUUUACAGGGGACGAAAAAAGGGAAUUCUUUCUCACUUGACGGUACCCUGGGAAUAAGCACCGGCUAACUCCGUGCCAGCAGCCGCGGUAAUACGGAGGGCGCAAGCGUUAUCCGGAUUCACUGGGUUUAAAGGGUGCGUAGGUGGGUCUGUAAGUCAGCGGUGAAAUCUCCGGGCUUAACCCGGAAACUGCCAUUGAUACUAUAGAUCUUGAAUUGUCUGGAGGUAAGCGGAAUAUGUCAUGUAGCGGUGAAAUGCUUAGAUAUGACAUAGAACACCAAUUGCGAAGGCAGCUUACUACGGAUUGAUUGACACUGAGGCACGAAAGCGUGGGGAUCAAACAGGAUUAGAUACCCUGGUAGUCCACGCCCUAAACGAUGGAUACUCGACAUUUGUGAUAUACUAUAAGUGUCUGAGCGAAAGCAUUAAGUAUCCACCUGGGAAGUACGACCGCAAGGUUGAAACUCAAAGGAAUUGACGG